AUGUGUCUCUUUGUGUGUGUGUGUGAUGUGUGUGUGUGAUGUGUGUAUGUGUGUGUGAUGUGUGUGUGAUGUGUGUGUCUGUCUGUCUGAUGUGUGUGUGUUUGUGUGGGUGUGUUUGAUGUGUGUGUGCUGUGUGUGUGUGUAUGUGAUAUGUGUGUAUACGAUAUGAUAUAUGUGUGCGUGUGAUAUGUGUGUGUGUGCGUGUGUGUGAUGUGUGUGUAUGUGUGUGUGUGUGACGUGUGUGUGUAUUUGAUGUGUGUGAUGUGUAUGUGUGUGAUGUGUGUGAUGUUGUGUGUGUGUUUGAUGUGUGCGUGUUGAUGUGAUGCGUGUCUCUUUCUCUGUUCGUGUUUGUGUGUGUGUGUGUGUGUAAUGUGUGUAUGUAAUAUGUGCGAUGUGAUGCGUGUCUCUGUCUCUGUGAGUGUGAUGUGUGUGUGUGUUUCUCUAUGUGUGUGUGUGUGAUGUGUGUGUGAUGUGUGUGUGUGUGUGUAAUGUGUGUGUGAUGUGUGUGUGUGUUUGAUGUGUGUGAUAUGUAAUGUGUGUGUGUGAUGUGUGUGUGUAUGUGUGAUACGUGUGUGUGUGUGUG
rnacentral:lncRNA from 1 species